rnacentral:rRNA from 1 species
CUCUAAGGCUAAAUACUCGUGAUCGACCGAUAGUGAACCAGUACCGUGAGGGAAAGGCGAAAAGAACCCCGGAGAGGGGAGUGAAAUAGAACCUGAAACCGUAUGCGUACAAGCAGUGGGAGCACCUUCGGGUGUGACUGCGUACCUUUUGUAUAAUGGGUCAGCGAGUUACUUUGACGAGCAAGCCUAAGCCGUUAGGCGUAAGCGAAGCGAAAGCGAGUCUGAAUAGGGCGUUUAGUUCGUUUGAGUAGACCCGAAACCGGGUGAUCUAGCCAUGGGCAGGUUGAAGGUACGGUAACACGUACUGAAGGACCGAACCCACGUCUGUUGAA